rnacentral:rRNA from 1 species
CGUACGCUGGCGGCACGCCUAACACAUGCAAGUCGAACGCAGUAGCAAUACUGAGUGGCAGACGGGUGAGUAACAUGUGGGAAUCUGCCUUGUGGUUCAGGACAACAUUGGGAAACUGAUGCUAAUACUGGAUAAGCCCUUACGGGGAAAGUUUUAAUGCCAUAAGAUGAGCCCGCAUUUGAUUAGUUAGUUGGUGAGGUAAUGGCUCACCAAGACAAUGAUCAAUAGCUGAUCUGAGAGGAUGAUCAGCCACACUGGGACUGAGACACGGCCCAGACUCCUACGGGAGGCAGCAGUGGGGAAUCUUGCACAAUGGAGGAAACUCUGAUGCAGCGAUGCCGCGUGAGUGAAGAAGGCCUUUGGGUUGUAAAGCUCUUUUGUAGGGGAAGAUAAUGACUGUACCCUAAGAAUAAGGUCCGGCUAACUUCGUGCCAGCAGCCGCGGUAAUCUGAUGGCGCG